rnacentral:rRNA from 1 species
UAUCUGAACCUUCGGGGAACGAUAACGGCGUCGAGCGGCGGACGGGUGAGUAAUGCCUAGGAAAUUGCCCUGAUGUGGGGGAUAACCAUUGGAAACGAUGGCUAAUACCGCAUGAUGCCUACGGGCCAAAGAGGGGGACCUUCGGGCCUCUCGCGUCAGGAUAUGCCUAGGUGGGAUUAGCUAGUUGGUGAGGUAAGGGCUCACCAAGGCAACGAUCCCUAGCUGGUCUGAGAGGAUGAUCAGCCACACUGGAACUGAGACACGGUCCAGACUCCUACGGGAGGCAGCAGUGGGGAAUAUUGCACAAUGGGCGCAAGCCUGAUGCAGCCAUGCCGCGUGUAUGAAGAAGGCCUUCGGGUUGUAAAGUACUUUCAGUCGUGAGGAAGGCGGCGUCGUUAAUAGCGGCGUUGUUUGACGUUAGCGACAGAAGAAGCACCGGCUAACUCCGUGCCAGCAGCCGCGGUAAUACGGAGGGUGCGAGCGUUAAUCGGAAUUACUGGGCGUAAAGCGCAUGCAGGUGGUUUGUUAAGUCAGAUGUGAAAGCCCGGGGCUCAACCUCGGAAUAGCAUUUGAAACUGGCAGACUAGAGUACUGUAGAGGGGGGUAGAAUUUCAGGUGUAGCGGUGAAAUGCGUAGAGAUCUGAAGGAA